UACUUCGGUGGUUCCCCAGUUCUCUCUUGGUUCCACUGCCUCACAACGCAAUUUGUUUGGUUGAAUAUUUUCCUUCAUCCUCUUCUUCUUUGCCUUUCUUCAGUUCUCUUUAUCGACCUAAACAGGAAUUCGAAGAGUUCAAGGAAUUUGACCUGAAAAAAAGAUGGUUCUUGAAUCAUUGUCAUCCCCUCAUAGGAGAAGCCAAACCGUGAUUCUUGUAUCACCUCCACCGGAGAAGCAGUCGCCGAUAGGUGGCCAAGAAUUUGAUAGUUGGUCCAUUCUGCUCCAGCGGCACAGGUUUCUCCUGACGAUGCUAACGCUCUUGGCAAUCCUGUGCACCAUCUAUCUCUAUUUCGCGAUCACUUUUGGCGUGGCUAUAGAUUCGUGUUCAGUUUUGUCGGGAGCUAAGAAGGCACUGUGCCAAGCCAAAGCUUUGGAAGUCAAGAAGUUUAAGCCAUGAUCGGAGCCUACGAGUUCAGAUCAAGAUGUCUCAAUAUUUUUUCCUUGAAAAAAAAGGAACACAAUAUAUGGAUCUUGAUCUGUCUAUAUGACGCUUCUUUCUUGUGUUUCUAAGCUUGUUCAAUGUUGUGUGAUGGUUAAUUGUA